rnacentral:rRNA from 1 species
UCUAGUAUAAGCAAUCUAUACAGUGAAACUGCGAAUGGCUCAUUAAAUCAGUUAUCGUUUAUUUGAUAGUACCUUACUACUUGGAUAACCGUGGUAAUUCUAGAGCUAAUACAUGCUAAAAACCUCGACUUCGGAAGGGGUGUAUUUAUUAGAUAAAAAACCAAUGCCCUUCGGGGCUCCUUGGUGAUUCAUGAUAACUUAACGAAUCGCAUGGCCUUGUGCCGGCGAUGGUUCAUUCAAAUUUCUGCCCUAUCAACUUUCGAUGGUAGGAUAGUGGCCUACCAUGGUUUCAACGGGUAACGGGGAAUUAGGGUUCUAUUCCGGAGAGGGAGCCUGAGAAACGGCUACCACAUCCAAGGAAGGCAGCAGGCGCGCAAAUUACCCAAUCCCGACACGGGGAGGUAGUGACAAUAAAUACUGAUACAGGGCUCUUUUGGGUCUUGUAAUUGGAAUGAGUACAAUUUAAAUCCCUUAACGAGGAACAAUUGGAGGGCAAGUCUGGUGCCAGCAGCCGCGGUAAUUCCAGCUCCAAUAGCGUAUAUUAAAGUUGUUGCAGUUAAAAAGCUCGUAGUUGAACCUUGGGCCUGGUUGGUCGGUCCGCCUCGCGGCGUGCACUGAUCCGACCGGGCCUUUCCUUCUGGGGAACCGCAUGCCCUUCAUUGGGUGUGUUGGGGAUCCAGGACUUUUACUUUGAAAAAAUUAGAGUGUUCAAAGCAGGCAUAUGCUCGAAUACAUUAGCAUGGAAUAAUAGAAUAGGACGUGUGGUUCUAUUUUGUUGGUUUCUAGGACCGCCGUAAUGAUUAAUAGGGAUAGUCGGGGGCAUCAGUAUUCCGUUGUCAGAGGUGAAAUUCUUGGAUUUACGGAAGACUAACUACUGCGAAAGCAUUUGCCCAAGGAUGUUUUCAUUAAUCAGUGAACGAAAGUUAGGGGAUCGAAGACGAUCAGAUACCGUCGUAGUCUUAACCAUAAACUAUGCCGAC